UACAGAGGGUGCAAGCGUUAAUCGGAUUUACUGGGCGUAAAGCGUGCGUAGGCGGUUCGCUAAGUCGGUUGUGAAAUCCCUGGGCUUAACCUGGGAGCUGCAGUCGAUACUGGUGGACUAGAGUACGGUAGAGGGUGGCGGAACUCCGGGUGUAGCGGUGAAAUGCGUAGAUAUCCGGAAGAACACCGAUGGCGAAGGCAACCACCUGGGCCUGUACUGACGCUGAGGUACGAAAGCGUGGGGAGCAAACAGG
rnacentral:rRNA from 1 species